rnacentral:misc_RNA from 1 species
GGAAUUUAGGAUACAGUUCUUUGCCUCAUCCAUUUAGUAGCUGACCAUUUCUCUCCUGAGAGUACUUCACAUCCUCCAUGUAGACUAUCAGGGUCAGAUUGUCCAUCAAGCCCCAUACUCCAAAAAAGAACAGCAUCUCCUUUCGUAGGUUUUACACAUAACCCUUGGAUCAUUUUGCCGCCACAGCUACAUUUACCAGUGCCAGCCAUAGGAAAGUAUGUUUCUCCCCCCUCCACAUUGUCGCUCAAAUACAUGAGCAUUGUAGCUAUUCUUUGACCUCCACGCUUCACAUUAAAACUAUCAGAGAAAUAGUCAUGAUGGGCUCUAUAGAACUGAUUCUUUUCAUACCUUAACA